ACGGGAGGCAGCAGUGGGGAAUAUUGGGCAAUGGGCGAAAGCCUGACCCAGCAACGCCGCGUGAAGGAAGAAGGCCUUCGGGUUGUAAACUUCUUUUGUCAGGGACGAAGGACGUGACGGUACCUGACGAAUAAGCAACGGCUAACUACGUGCCAGCAGCCGCGGUAAUACGUAGGUUGCAAGCGUUGUCCGGAUUUACUGGGUGUAAAGGGCGUGUAGGCGGAUCUGCAAGUCAGAUGUGAAAUCCCGGGGCUCAACCCCGGAACUGCAUUUGAAACUGUUGAUCUUGAGUAUCGGAGAGGCAAUCGGAAUUCCUAGUGUAGCGGUGAAAUGCGUAGAUAUUAGGAGGAACACCAGUGGCGAAGGCGGAUUGCUGGACGACAACUGACGGUGAGGCGCGAAAGCGUAGGGAGCAAACAGGAUUAGAUACCCUGGUA
rnacentral:rRNA from 1 species